UAGGGAAUCUUCGGCAAUGGGGGGAACCCUGACCGAGCAACGCCGCGUGAGUGAAGAAGGUUUUCGGAUCGUAAAGCUCUGUUGUUAAGGAAGAACGAGUGUGAGAAUGGAAAGUUCAUGCUGUGACGGUACUUAACCAGAAAGGGACGGCUAACUACGUGCCAGCAGCCGCGGUAAUACGUAGGUCCCGAGCGUUGUCCGGAUUUAUUGGGCGUAAAGCGAGCGCAGGCGGUUAGAAAAGUCUGAAGUGAAAGGCAGUGGCUCAACCAUUGUAGGCUUUGGAAACUGUUUAACUGGAGUGCAGAAGGGGAGAGUGGAAUUCCAGGUGUAGCGGUGAAAUGCGUGGAUAUAUGGAGGAACACCAGUGGCGAAGGCGACUCUCUGGUCUGUAACUGACGCUGAGGCUCGAAAGCGUGGGGAGCGAACAGG
rnacentral:rRNA from 1 species